GACGAACGCUGGCGGUAUGCUUAACACAUGCAAGUCGAACGAGAAGUUUUUUAUUGAACCUUCGGGGGAUAUAAGAGACAGACAGUGGCGAACGGGUGAGUAACGCGUGGGCAACCUACCUAUCGGAGCGGGAUAGCCUCGAGAAAUCGGGAGUAAAACCGCAUAACACGGAUAUAUCGCAUGAUGAAUCCGUCAAAACUCCGGUGCCGAUAGAUGGGCCCGCGUCUGAUUAGCUAGUUGGUAAGGUAAGGGCUUACCAAGGCAACGAUCAGUAGCCGGUCUGAGAGGGCGAACGGCCACACUGGAACUGAGACACGGUCCAGACUCCUACGGGAGGCAGCAGUGGGGAAUAUUGCGCAAUGGGGGCAACCCUGACGCAGCAAUACCGCGUGAGUGAAGAAGGUUUUCGGAUCGUAAAGCUCUGUUAUUGGGGAAGAAGCAGUGACGGUACCCAAUGAGGAAGUCCCGGCUAACUACGUGCCAGCAGCCGCGGUAAUACGUAGGGGACGAGCGUUGUCCGGAAUCACUGGGCGUAAAGGGCGCGUAGGCGGUUUUAUAAGUCAGAUGUGAAAGGUACCGGCUCAACCGGUGACGUGCAUUUGAAACUGUAAGACUUGAGUACUGAAGAGGCAAGCGGAAUUCCUAGUGUAGCGGUGAAAUGCGUAGAUAUUAGGAAGAACACCGGUGGCGAAGGCGGCUUGCUGGGCAGAUACUGACGCUGAGGUGCGAAAGCGUGGGGAGCGAACAGG
rnacentral:rRNA from 1 species